AGUGAGAGAGCAACUGCUUGGGAGUCUGGUAGCCAGCCAAGGCAACCUACAAGAGGAAGAAAAUCUUUAACAGGUGUAUGGAAUUGAAUCUGAGAAAGAGAAAAAGGACAUGAAACAGAGGACUGAACUGUACCUCAUAUUGGAAAAAUAAUCUGGAAUGAAUUCAUAGAAGCCCAAGACAUGCCUUAUCCAUAACAAACAACCGGACGGGAGGCCACUUAAAGCAAAAAACACUGAAGACCUUUGCUGAAAGUUCUUCAUCGUGCUCUUUGGAGAACUGGAAGGAAAAAAAAUUAAAAACCCUAGGACUGAAGUUGCCCUUUGACAUCACUGAAUCCACGUCCCUCCACUUAAUGGGACUCGUAGACCACUCGUAGACGUGGUCAUGUGAAUGCUUACAUUUGUACCAUGAAGGCACAGUACAAAAUAACAGUCAGAAAAAUAAUAAAACAUUUA